AUGCUGGACCACUCCAAAGCAGAACCGUGGAAGAAGAGCCAACAGGCCUGGUCUGAAAAGGAAUGUGUUUCCAGAGGGACCUCGUCGGUGUGGAACCAAGAGGAAGAAGAGUUAGCAAGAGUCUGGCACCCUCCUGGCACUGCCCAGACAGAGCAACGCUGGAUGUGUGGGGCAAGCAUUCCUGACACUCGAAGAUCUCCCUUAAGACUCUGUUUCUGUUCCUUGUAUACCCUCUUCACCAAGAACUUUCUGAUUAGCAAUCUAGCUUCCCGGGAACACUAACAGAGCAAGACGUGUCUGUCACAGGGACAUGAGCAUUCCAGUGACCCUUAACCAUAAACACGUGACCCAGCCUCAGGCUUCAGCCUCAGUCCUUGUGAGUCUGAGCUGUAAUCUCAGUCUUAUUAAAAUAUUUUUUAUGUUUUUAAUUUAUUCUUGAGAGACAGAGACAGUGCAAGCAGGGGAGGGGCAGAGAAAGAGGGAGACACAGAAUCAAAAGCAGGCUCCAGGGUUCGAGCCCUGUAUCAGCACAGAGCCUGAUACGGGGCUCGAACCCACAAACCGUGAGAUUAUGACUUGAGCCAAAGUUGGAUGCUUAACUGACUGAGCCCCCCAGGUGCCCCAUGUAAUCCUAGCCUAGCGUACUCUGACGAUAUAAAUGGAGAACCAGACCUCCCAAUAUGCUGGCCCGAGCCCCUGAGACCAGGCCAAAUGGCCAGUGGUUGUCCUCUGCUGUCACUGUCGUGGUUCUAUGGCAGUAAGUCGCACCAUCCUUGGUAAUCCAGUGGACACGCUUGCAGCAUUGUACAGCAGAAGGGAAUGUCUCUGCGAGCAAAGUAUUUGUGUUGCAUGCAGGCGCUCAAAAGCGAGUAUAGGAGGAUGAGGGAAUGAGGAAUAGAAGAGAGUUCGAGAACGGGCACGGGAGGCACAACAUGAGCGAUGCCCAUGUUGUCGCUUACUUAUCACAUGCAGUUUUCUUCAUAGCACAGACGGCACAGCUGUGAAGAGUUUCUCCUAGACAAUACUGUUCUCACUGCUCUUGUUGUACCAUAUUUCCUGGGAACGUUACACCCUCUUAUUAUUAUUAUGAGUGCCAAAGCGUGAAGGACAGUUGUACGAUAACAUUUUAACUCAAGUGACUUAACCUCUGAGGAACUGGGUCAGCCUCGAGGGCUGUGAGGGCAUGACAGCUUCGCUCGGUCACAGUCCCCUCCCUGGCUCCUGGCUGCUGUUUCCCACAUAUUUGAUUCUUGGUGGUAGUGGCUUUGGUCCAUGAAAAAGUUAACAAACCCUUCAGGACCGCAAAUCAGAAUAGUCUCCCCCACCUCAAGCCAGACUCAGGGAGCCUUUCCUCUCCUGAGGGUGCGCCCAGAACGGUCCAGCAUCCUCUCAGGCCAAGCAGAAUCUGGUCGGCAAGUUUGCCGUCUAUAGGGAUGCCCGUGAAGCGGCUUAUUCAAGAUCUGUUUCUGGUAAAAUGUUUGCAGAGCCUUCAUGGAAAGCCUGCUUUUGGAAACCCAGCUCUCCUCCUGGGCGGGUCAGGAACGUGUGAUCCUAGAGAAGGCAUACCGGUCUGCAGAAUGGGGACCGACAUACCUACAUCUGUAUGCUUGUUGGGAAGCAGUCAAGCCCUCAGGAAGGGCUGUGACACAGAGUGUGGCACAUGGCAGACAGCUAGCAAGUAUGUGUUCACUCACAGUUUGUUCUGAAAGUCCCACUGUCCUGGGCGCCUACUGACUCAGUUGGUUAAGCGCCCAACUCUUUCUUUUUCUCAAAAUGUUUAUUUAUUUUGAGAGAGAGCAAACGACUGGGGGAGGGGCAGAGGAAGAGGAAGAGAGAAAGAAUCCCAAGCAGGCUCCAUGCUGUCAGCACAGAGCCCAAAGCAGGGCUCGAACUCACAAACUGUUAGAUCCUGACAGCUCAAAGACGAGUCAGACGCUUAACCAACUGAGCCCCCCGGUGCCCCCAGGGGUGUGCCACUCUUGAUCUCAGCAUAGGUGUUGAUCUCGGGGUCAUGAGUUCAAGCCCCAAGUUGGGCUCCGAGCUGAGUGGAACCUACUUAAAAACAAAAGUCCCAUUGUCCUGUGUAACUGCCUCUGUGGAAAUCCUUAUCAAAGCAUCUUGGAAUCCUACAUCUUCUCAAAGGCAGAGCAUGCAUCCCAGCUGCUCCUGGCACAGUGCUCAGCUCUCUUUAAGUGAGGGGGAAAGUGUCUAAGCUCCGCCCUCAUGUCGCCCACA
rnacentral:lncRNA from 1 species